CCCUGUGGCUCAGUUGGUAGUGCAUGGUGCUUGUAACGCCAGCAUGGUGUGUGCAACGCCAGGGUUGUGGGUUCGAUUCCCACAGGGG
rnacentral:tRNA from 1 species